AACUCAAGAGGCAAUGUUUGGUUAAAUAGUAAAAAGCAGGUUUUAGAAAGCACAAAUGUUACUAUGAGUCGUAGAGAAAAGAAGUUAAUAUAUUUGUUCUUUACUUUUCUUAUAUGAUGCAAAAGUUGUACAUUUACCAAGUAUGUUUUUUAUUUCUAUUUGCUUUGAAAUGAAAUCAAAACUGUUAAAAUUAGUUUUUAAUAACAGACGGUUGAACCAGACAGAGCCUUGAUCUACCUCCUUUAUAGAUGAUGAUAACCUUGAUUUCCCAUUUUUGUCCUGAUUCCUUUCUCUUUGGUUGCAUGAUAAUAUGUUGCUUAUAAAUAAACCACCCUCACCCCCAACCCCUUUUUUUCUUCUCUUGGCAGGAUAUUGCUGCUGCUAUUGAUGA
rnacentral:misc_RNA from 1 species